GAUGAACGCUGGCGGCGUGCCUAAUACAUGCAAGUCGAGCGAACAGACGAGGAGCUUGCUCCUCUGACGUUAGCGGCGGACGGGUGAGUAACACGUGGAUAACCUACCUAUAAGACUGGGAUAACUUCGGGAAACCGGAGCUAAUACCGGAUAAUAUAUUGAACCGCAUGGUUCAAUAGUGAAAGACGGUUUUGCGGUCACUUAUAGAUGGAUCCGCGCCGCAUUAGCUAGUUGGUAAGGUAACGGCUUACCAAGGCAACGAUGCGUAGCCGACCUGAGAGGGUGAUCGGCCACACUGGAACUGAGCCACGGUCCAGACUCCUACGGGAGGCAGCAGUAGGGAAUCUUCCGCAAUGGGCGAAAGCUUGACGGAGCAACGCCGCGUGAGUGAUGAAGGUCUUCGGAUCGUAAAACUCUGUUAUUAGGGAAGAACAAAUGUGUAAGUAACUAUGCACGUCUUGACGGUACCUAAUCAGAAAGCCACGGCUAACUACGUG
rnacentral:rRNA from 1 species